rnacentral:rRNA from 1 species
UACGUAGGGUGCGAGCGUUGUCCGGAAUUAUUGGGCGUAAAGAGCUCGUAGGCGGUGUGUCGCGUCGGCCGUGAAAACCUGCAGCUCAACUGCAGGCUUGCGGUCGAUACGGGCAGGCUGGAGUUCGGUAGGGGAGACUGGAAUUCCUGGUGUAGCGGUGAAAUGCGCAGAUAUCAGGAGGAACACCGGUGGCGAAGGCGGGUCUCUGGGCCGAUACUGACGCUGAGGAGCGAAAGCGUGGGGAGCGAACAGG